rnacentral:rRNA from 1 species
AAGUCGAACGCAGUAGCAAUACUGAGUGGCAAACGGGUGAGUAUAAUGUGGGAAUCUGCCUUUUGGUCUAGAAUAACACGGGGAAACUUGUGCUAAUACUGGAUAAGCCCUUACAGGGAAAGUUUUAAUGCCGAAAGAUGAGCCCGCACUUGAUUAGCUAGUUGGUAAGGUAAAAGCUUACCAAGGCAACGAUCAAUAGCUGUUCUUAGAGGAAGACCAGCCACAUUGGGACUGAGACACGGCCCAGACUCCUACGGGAGGCAGCAGUGGGGAAUCUUGCACAAUGGGGGAAACCCUGAUGCAGCGAUGCCGCGUGAGUGAAGAAGGCCCUUGGGUUGUAAAACUCUUUCGUCGGGGAAGAAAAUGACUGUACCCGAAUAAGAAGGUCCGGCUAACUUCGUGCCAGCAGCCGCGGUAAUACGAAGGGACCUAGCGUAGUUCGGAAUUACUGGGCUUAAAGAGCUCGUAGGUGGUUAAAAAAGUUGAUGGUGAAAUCCCAAGGCUCAACCUUGGAACUGCCAUCAAAACUUUUUAGCUAGAGUGUGAUAGAGG